AGAGUUUGUAACACCCAAAGCCGGUGAGGUAACCUUCGGGGACCAGCCGUCUAAGGUGGGACAGAUGAUUAGGGUGAAGUCGUAACAAGGUAGCCGUAGGAGAACCUGCGGCUGGAUCACCUCCUUUCUAAGGAAAAACGGAAUCCUGCACAUUGUCGAAAGUUUUGUUUAGUUUUGAGAGGUCUACUCUCAAUUCGUUCUUUGAAAACUAGAUAAUAUUAAUUUUCUGUAAUAAUUUUUUUGAAAUUGUAUUUUAUAUAAUUUCAACCGAGAACACCAGCGUUAUUUUGAGUUUGUUAACUAGAAAAAAUCGCAAAUACUCAAUUAACUUUGCAUUACCUAGUGGUGCACCGGUUAAGUUAAAAAGGGCCCAUGGGGGAUGCCUUGGCACUAGAACCCCAUGAAGGACGGGACUAACCCCGAUAUGCNUCGGGGAGCUGCACCUAANCUUUGAUCCGGAAAUUUCCCAAUGGGGAANCCCCACAGUUUUAAUCCACUGGUACUAUAUUGGGAAUUCAUAACUAUAUAGAGGGAGACGGGGGGAA
rnacentral:misc_RNA from 2 species